rnacentral:tRNA from 1 species
AAGUAAGAAGCAAAGAUUGCGCUUUAGUUUCGACCUAAAAAAUUUGAUGACCACAUCCUUACUUU